AGCAGCCGCGGUAAUUCCAGCUCCAAUAGCGUAUAUUAAAGUUGUUGCAGUUAAAAAGCUCGUAGUUGAAUUUCGGGGUUCUAUCAUUGGUCAAGCUAUUGUUUGUACUGAUGUUUAGAAUUUCUACUUUUCUGGGGAAUCAUCAUAUUAUUAAUUUAACGUGAUGAGAAACCAGGACCUUUACCUUGAAAAAAUUAGAGUGUUCAAAGCAGGCUUAUGUCUGAAUACAUUAGCAUGGAAUAAUAGAAUAGGACGGUGGUCCUGUUUUGUUGGUUUCUGAAUCACCGUAA
rnacentral:rRNA from 1 species